UUGGAGGGCAAGUCUGGUGCCAGCAGCCGCGGUAAUUCCAGCUCCAAUAGCGUAUAUUAAAGUUGUUGCAGUUAAAAAGCUCGUAGUUGAAUUUCGGGGUCAGUAGGUUGGUCAUGCCUCUGGUAUGUACUGGUCUCACUGAUUCCUCCUUCCUGAUGAACCGUAAUGCCAUUAAUUUGGUGUUGCGGGGAAUUUGGACUGUUACUUCGAAAAAAUUAGAGUGUUUAAAGCAAGCUAACGCUUGAAUACAUUAGCAUGGAAUAAUGAAAUAGGACGUUCGAUCCUAUUUUGUUGGUUUCUAGGAUUGACGUAAUGAUUAAUAGGGAUAGUUGGGGGCAUUAGUAUUCAAUUGUCAGAGGUGAAAUUCUUGGAUUUAUUGAAGACUAACUACUGCGAAAGCAUUUGCCAAGGAUGUUUUCAUUAAUCAAGAACGAAAGUUAGGGGAUCGAAGACGAUCAGAUACCGUCGUAGUCUUAACCAUAAACUAUGCCGACUAGGGAUCGGAUGAUGUUAAUUUUUUAAUGACUCAUUCGGCGCCUUACGGGAAAC
rnacentral:rRNA from 1 species